rnacentral:rRNA from 1 species
GGGUUCUAACAUAGCCUGUCGAUGACGGUACCGUAAGAAGAAGCACCGGCUAACUACGUGCCAGCAGCCGCGGUAAUACGUAGGGUGCGAGCGUUAAUCGGAAUUACUGGGCGUAAAGCGUGCGCGGGCGGUUUUGUAAGACAGAUGUGAAAUCCCCGGGCUUAACAGGGGAACUGCGUUUGUGACUGCAAGGCUGGAGUACGGCAGAGGGG